CUCUGCAGAAAGCCAGAUUUAGUAAACAAAAGUGCAGAUUGCCUAGUUAAAUGUGAGUUUCAGAUAAUGAAUGAGAUAUCCUUAUACGAAAAAGGGAUUCAAUUUUGCUAGGCAUCCUGUAUUUUAUCUAGCACCUAGGAGGUGCGAGUAAGAGAAUGGGGCACAAUCUCUCAGGCAUCUCCAGUUAUCUGAGGGCGGUGUUCUGAAGGGAAGCUCUGGUGCUCUGGAUGAUUGUGAGCCCUCUGCAGCUAAGAAUCACAGCAGGCAGUGGUUGCGUGCAGCAGCCAGUAACCUGGGAAACACAUCAGCAGCGCCCACUACAGGCAGGGACUAUGGGGGCAGCUCAUCAGUCAUAGUGAAAAAGAAGGUCCUGCCCAGACAUUUAAGUCCAAACCGUCGCCAUCAGGCAGUUUCUUUGAAGGAUUCUGCAUCAGCAUUACAAGAACCUGAGAGACUGUGGAUUCUGACCUGCAAGAGCCUCAAGGGGCUGGCCUUCAGGAGGUGGAAGCAGACCGACCUUGGAGUAAAAGAGUGAUUACACAUAAAGCCAUCGAGAUGAUGCUGACCAGACCAUCACACGAUCAGUCUUGAGAUGAUUACUGGAGUUGACUGUGUUGUUCUACACGUAGCUUCCCUGCUUGUGCACCCCUGAAACUCCCCUUUAAAACCUUUGUCCUCUAAGCAGCAACUAGGAGAUGGUCUCGGACAUUAGUCCACCAUUUUCCCAGGUUGCUGGCAUCCUGAGUAAAGCAACUUUUCCU